rnacentral:other from 1 species
GUUUCCACAGCUGGAGGAAGCCUACAAGUGGAAUUUGGAAUUCCCGAAGUGCCUUUGUGAAAAGCUGGAAAUAAUUUCUUUAGAAAUGUCUCUUAGUUUUCCAUAGGACAUCCAGAAACC